rfam:Cavia porcellus supercont2_32 genomic scaffold, whole genome shotgun sequence.
AGACGUGAGGGGAACCUGGUUGUGACAUCUGUCACCUCACUGAUUACCAGAGUUGAUUUGGCUGAUCUGGCUGGGUAAAAGGUGUCCCUUUCCUACCUCAUUGCUCCAUGUAUGUCCCUCCUGAGCUUGCUGGGUCAAAGAGGAUGAACAUCCCCAACAGAGGAGGACAUUUCCUUGGUCAUAGAUACACGAGUAGUUGUGCUCCUGUCCAAACAAGCUCUCAAUGCUUAUAGCUUUGCUUAUUCUAGAUAUUUACAAAGAAUGAAGUUAUCUAAUAUUU